UCCCCUGCGUUGGCAGGCGGACUCUCAACCACUGCGCCACCAGGGAAACCCUGCUCUUUUCUUUAGCCAAGUCUUUCCCUGGCCUCUCUGUCCAGGCCAAAGAAGCCAGUCUUCAUCCGUUCUGGCUUAUUGUGUUUUCUUGUGGGCCUUCUGUUGCAGGGACUUCCCUUACCCUGUGCCUGAGCCCACCUGAGCUAGUGCACUGUCACAAGCCUCAGCUUGAAAUGGGCCGUGCUGAGACAACGGCAGCUUUCGAGCCAUCCUUUGAUCCCCUUGUUGCCAGUCCGCAGUCAAGAUUCCCAUUUGUCCAGUUAAAAAAGAUAAAAAGUCUCCAUUGAUGGGAUGCAAGCAGAUUUUAUCUACAGUUAUUGGUAGAGGCCCUCUGGAGCUGUUUUGAGAAGGACUGUGGGGAUGCAUUUGGCCUUGAUGAGAAGAAGUAACAUGAUUAAUUAGCAAUAAAUCCAGUUUACCUACCUGAGAUCCAGUCCCCAUCGAAGAACUACCUGGAGAGAAACUAUAGGGUUGUCAGCCUCUGCUUUAAGACCUUUGUCACCAGAUCUCGUGGAAGGAUGGCAACAGGCAUGGAUACCUGAGAGAUGUUCCUAGAUGAAGAGGAAAGUGCCCAUCUCUGUUCACUUGGAUCCUAUCCACUGUCAUGCUCUUGCCAACUCCAAAUACCCACCAUCUACCUGCUCUGCUAGAUAUUUGACAGAUGUCGGAUAUUUGGAGUACUGUGUUCUGGAGCAUUUAGAGACCACAUUCAGACUUUUCAGAAAAGCUACUGUCUAGUAAUCAGGAGGAAACCUUGAGUGUGGAAUCCACCACUGUGGACAGGAUUACAGAAUGGGAAAGGAGACUGGUGAACAUUGACGAGGUCACAGAACAACUCUACAGCCUGGAUUUAUUUUACAUGGGGAAAAAAAUAUUUCUUACUUGUUACGCGGGCCUCUCACUGUGUGGCCCCUCCCGUUGCGGAGCACAGGCUCUGGAUGCGCAGGCUCAGCGGCCAUGGCUCACGGGCCCAACUGCUCCACGGCAUGUGGGAUCCUUCCGGACCGGGGCACGAACCCGCGUCCCCUGCAUCGGCAGGCGGACUCUCAACCACUGCGCCACCAGGGAAGCCUUACAUCGAUUUUGACUCAAGCCUACCUUGAGUGACAUGCUGACUUCUAUUGUCCUUACCAGAGACCAGGUCUGGCUUCUGCAGGGAGAAAAACAGGAACACAAGUGAAAAGAUCACUAGGCAAGAGAAAAGGAUAGACCACUCUCUUAAUCCAGGCAGCAGCCACACAUGCCCCCAGAUGCAAGGCUGUGAUGAACUGCAGCGUCAGAGACUGAAGUUUGAGUCCGGCUGAAGCUGUACUGCGGUUUCCUCCUUUGCACACUACUAGCAGACUCGCUACCUGAGUGUUCAGGCACGUGGCUGGGAAACACAGGCAGGGCCUUCAGAACAGCCCCUGGGUCACUUACCCAAAUGGCAGACAAACAGCAAGGACCACAAGUUCCUUUUUAAGACGUAGGCUCCAGGCCCUGCCCACGUGUGCUUGCCACUCCGACAGAAAGUCAAGUCAGAUCUGGGCUCAGAAGCAAAUGAAAGGACAGGGCAGUCAUGAGCACUGACCUUUAGCCUUGAAAACAGGUCCCCCACCAGUGAAACUAGCCCAACGAGUGUUCCCAACUCUGACCAAUCAUCCCAGUCACUCCCAUGAGGAGAAACAAAGAAAGGAGUGAAGCGAGAGAGGACAGAAGUGUAGUGAGUUUCCUUCUCCUCUGGGAUAAGGCAAACACAUGAGGUGAAAGGAGGUCCCUCCCUCUUCAACAGUUUUCCUUACCUGUGUGUCUUCUAUUCUUAGAAAUAAUUAGAAGCACAAAGAUCUACAAGUGUCUCAGGGUUCAAUUCGAUCAUAAUUAAACACGUUUCCUGAAAUGUGAAAAUACUAGUGAAGCAUGUUUCCUUCAUAAUAAAUACAUAAAUGUGGCCACCCACAAAAUGGGUGAAUGGCCCUCAGCGUAUUCUGGGUCCCAGUUUUCUGGGUCCCAUAGUCACAUCACAAAGUACCAUUGGGUUGGUACAAGGAUUGAAUGAGUUAAAAUGUAUAAAGUUUGUAAACAGUGCCUGACAUAACAGACAGCGUUAGUUAUUAUUAUUACUAUUAAUUUAUGUUUUAUAUCAUAUUACAGUCAUUAUCUCAUGUGAUUUUCACAACACCCUGUGAAAAAGGUUAAGACAAGCCAUAUUACCACCUUUGCCGAUGAAGUUAUUCAGUACACGAGGUCUGCAAUUCAGAUUUUCUGCUACCAAAGCACAGGUGGCUGCCUGGUUUUCCUUAUUCAGAAAUUUGAAGGUUGCAUAUCUUGCCUUGUCAUUGGGAACUGUCAGAUGAUGACAAGGUAGAACUUUGGACUUCUCCUACUCCACUAGGAAAAGAGUUGCUUGGCUUAAAUUAUGUGCAGCAUUUCGCUUUGCAGUUUCCUGGGUAAAUCAAUAUGGGUAUUACACAAUUGAUAAACAUUUGCUUGCUGUCUUGCACACAAAAUAUUUCGU